rnacentral:rRNA from 1 species
UUCGUAGGUGGUGCGGCAAGUUGGAAGUGAAAUCUCUGGGCUUAACUCAGAGGCUGCUUUCAAAACUGCCGUGCUCGAGUGCGAGAGAGGUCAGUGGAGUUGCAGGUGUAGCGGUGAAAUGCGUAGAUAUCUGCAGGAACACCCGUGGCGAAGGCGGCUGACUGGAUCGCAACUGACACUGAGGAACGAAAGCUAGGGGAGCAAACAGGAUUAGAUACCCUGGUAGUCCUAGCCCUAAACCAUCAGAACUUGGGGUGGCCCGCGUAGGCGGGUCGUCCCGUAGCUAACGCGUUAAGUUCUGCGCCUGGGGAGUACGGUCGCAAGACUGAA